rnacentral:rRNA from 1 species
UCGGGAAUUUUGGGCAAUGGGCGAAAGCCUGACCCAGCAACGCCGCGUGAGGGAGGAAGUAUUUCGGUAUGUAAACCUCGAAAGAAUGGGAAGAAUAAAUGACGGUACCAUUUAUAAGCUCCGGCUAACUACGUGCCAGCAGCCGCGGUAAUACGUAGGGAGCAAGCGUUGUUCGGAUUUACUGGGCGUAAAGGGCGCGUAGGCGGCGCGGUAAGUCACUUGUGAAAUCUCUGGGCUUAACUCAGAACGGCCAAGUGAUACUGCUGUGCUAGAGUGCGGAAGAGGCAACCGGAAUUCUUGGUGUAGCGGUGAAAUGCGUAGAUAUCAAGAGGAACACCUGAGGCGAAGGCGGGUUGCUGGGCCGACACUGACGCUGAUGCGCGAAAGCCAGGGGAGCAAACG